rnacentral:rRNA from 1 species
CGAAAGCCUGACGGAGCAACGCCGCGUGUGGGAAGAAGGCUCUUGGGCUGUCAACCACUUUUCUCAGGGAAGAAGUCCUGACGGUACCUGAGGAAUCAGCCUCGGCUAACUCCGUGCCAGCAGCCGCGGUAAGACGGAGGAGGCAAGCGUUAUCCGGAAUUACUGGGCGUAAAGCGUCCGCAGGGGGCGCAUCAAGUCUGCUGUUAAAGGUCGGAGCUAAACUCCGGUAGAGCAGUGGAAACUGGUGCGCUAGAGGGCGACAGGGGUAGAGGGAAUUCCCAGUGUAGCGGUGAAAUGCGUAGAGAUUGGGAAGAACACCGGUGGCGAAAGCGCUCUACUGGGUCGCACCUGACCCUGAGGGACGAAAGCCAGGGGAGCG